rnacentral:rRNA from 1 species
UACGUAGGGGGCGAGCGUUAUCCGGAUUCACUGGGUGUAAAGGGAGCGUAGACGGCCAUGCAAGCCAGGGGUGAAAGCCCGGGGCCCAACCCCGGGACUGCCCUUGGAACUGCAUGGCUGGAGUGCGGGAGGGGCAGGCGGAAUUCCUGGUGUAGCGGUGAAAUGCGUAGAUAUCAGGAGGAACACCGGCGGCGAAGGCGGCCUGCUGGACCGCGACUGACGUUGAGGCUCGAAAGCGUGGGGAGCGGACAGG